CUCAGUUCGGAUUGGAGUCUGCAACCCGACUCCAUGAAGCUGGAUUCGCUAGUAAUCGCGCAUCAGCCACGGCGCGGUGAAUACGUUCCCGGGCCUUGUACACAUCGCCCGUCAAGCCAUGGAAGCCGGGGGUGCCUGAAGUGCGCUGCCGCAAGGAGCGCCCUAGGGUAAAACCGGUGACUGGGGCUAAGUCGUAACAAGGUACC
rnacentral:rRNA from 1 species